AGAGCACCCGGACCCGCGGCGGCAGCGGCAGCGGCAGCGACGCUACCCACCCUCUUCCCCAACACCCACCUAGCCAGCGAGUCACCGAGCCACGGGCCCUCGGGAUGAGACUGCAAAGAAGCAUAAAAUGAAUAGACAAUCCAACCAACCAAAGGAAAUUGCUUUGGAGAUGAGGAAACAAACUUACGGAGACCUAAGAGACUGAAGACAUCUGGCUUGGACUACUCUGAUGGUAAAAUUGAAAGUACACCUAAAUUUGCUUUGUUACAGUAUUCUCUUCAGAGGACAAGAGAAGAUGUUACAUUCUCUGCAUGAGGACAAUUCUGCAGCAUCAAAAUCGAAUAAUAUUUGUUUUCUGGCAGCAGAAUUUUGUAUCAUAUUUCUAAAGACAGUAAGCACUUGGGUGGACGUCAAUGAAUACUAAACACUAAUUGAUCUGAUACAGCCGUAUGCACAUACACAGAUAUACACAGUGGCUUGUAAUGGUUGAAAAAUUACAGUUUGGUUCUAUUAAAAGAUCUGUCACUUUUAGGUCAGAGUGGGAUUUUGGAGGGAGAGUCUCCCACAAUAGAAAACUAUCCUGAC
rnacentral:lncRNA from 1 species